AUUGAACGCUGGCGGCAGGCCUAACACAUGCAAGUCGAACGGCAGCACAGAAGAGCUUGCUCUUUGGGUGGCGAGUGGCGGACGGGUGAGUAAUGUCUGGGAAACUGCCCGAUGGAGGGGGAUAACUACUGGAAACGGUAGCUAAUACCGCAUAACGUCGCAAGACCAAAGUGGGGGACCUUCGGGCCUCACACCAUCGGAUGUGCCCAGAUGGGAUUAGCUAGUAGGUGGGGUAACGGCUCACCUAGGCGACGAUCCCUAGCUGGUCUGAGAGGAUGACCAGCCACACUGGAACUGAGACACGGUCCAGACUCCUACGGGAGGCAGCAGUGGGGAAUAUUGCACAAUGGGCGCAAGCCUGAUGCAGCCAUGCCGCGUGUAUGAAGAAGGCCUUCGGGUUGUAAAGUACUUUCAGCGGGGAGGAAGGCGACGCGGUUAAUAACCGGGUCGAUUGACGUUACCCGCAGAAGAAGCACCGGCUAACUCCGUGCCAGCCGCCGCAGUAAAAC
rnacentral:rRNA from 1 species